rnacentral:rRNA from 1 species
CUGGUUGAUCCUGCCAGUAGCAUAUGCUUGUCUCAAAGAUUAAGCCAUGCAUGUCUAAGUACAAGCCGCUAGUCGGCGAAACCGCGAAUGGCUCAAUAAAUCAGUUAUGGUUCCUUAGAACAGUCAAUCCUACUUGGAUAACUGUGGUAAUUCUAGAGCUAAUACAUGCACCCAAGCCCCGACUCGGGAAGCAAGUCUCGAGGAAGGGCGCUUUUAUUAGAUCAAAACCAGUCGAGAGCUUCGGUUCUCGUUAAGUUUGGUGACUCUGGAUAACUUCACGCUGAUCGCACGGUCUUCGCAC